rnacentral:rRNA from 1 species
GACAGAGGUGCCAAGCGUUAGGCGGAAUCACUGGGCUUAAAGCGUGUGUAGGCGGAUCGUUAAGUACCUUGUGAAAUCCCACGGCUCAACCGUGGAACUGCUGGGUAUACUGGCGAUCUUGAGCCACCUAGGGGCGAGCGGAACAAGCGGUGGAGCGGUGAAAUGCGUAGAUAUCGAGAGGAACACCUGCGGCGAAGGCGGGUUGCUGGGCUGAUACUGACGCUGAGGCGCGAAAGCCAGGGGAGCGAACGGG